CGUAGGUCCCGAGCGUUAUCCGGAUUUACUGGGCGUAAAGCGUGUUCAGGCGGUCUAGCAAGUCGGGCAUGAAAUCUCUCGGCUCAACCGGGAGGGGUUGUCCGAUACUGCUGGGCUUGAGGGCAGCAGAGGGUGGUGGAAUUCCGGGUGUAGUGGUGAAAUGCGUAGAUAUCCGGAGGAACACCAGUGGCGAAGGCGGCCACCUGGGCUGUACCUGACGCUCCAACACGAAAGCUAGGGGAGCGAACGGGAUUAGAAACCCCGGUAGUCCUAGCCGUAAACGAUGUUGACUAGGUGUCGACGGUCUAAACCCCGCCGGUGCCGGAGCUAACGCACGAAGUCAACCGCCUGGGGACUACGGCCGCAAGGUUA
rnacentral:rRNA from 1 species